rnacentral:lncRNA from 1 species
AGGAGGGGGAACAAGGAGGCUGAGCAUCACCCGCACCCAACAUUUUAUCACAUUUUUUUCUGAUUUCCAAAUUCAGCAGACGUUGGCUGCAGCUCUUGGAGUCACAAGCGCGAGGAACGUCACCGCUGUCCCCUUAACGUGGCACUGGUGAGACCGCAGCUCCCGCCAGCACCCCGAAAGGAGGAUGCGGGGAGGGAGGUGCCCGGCAUUUCUCGGUGACAGCACGUGAGGGAACAGGCUCGAGUUGCCCAGGGCAUGGCUACGUUGGGUUUGGGGCAGGAUUUCUGCAUGGAGAGGGUGGCCAACGGGAGCGUGGGUUGGUGCACCCAGUGUGCCGGGCUCUGGUUCACCUUCUUGUCACAGAAUCCUGACCUGGUUGGGGCUGGAGGCCCCCUCAGGGUCCCUCUGGUCCCAGGGGUGCUCCAGCAGCCCCCAGAGCUGCCCUUGUUCCUACAAUUUAGGAGAAAUUCAGAGAGUUUAAAACGAAAAAUGAUUUAUUUGUGAGUGUGUUUCUGUCACCGGUACUCCUGACAAGGUGUUGUGUGUUAAUUAGCGUGGCAAGCUUUACAUUUUCAGGUUGACUUUUAAUAAAUAAAUAGAUAAAUAAAUAAAUAAAUAGUAAUAAAUAGUAAUAAAUAGUAAUAGUAAUAGUAAUAGUAAUAGUAAUAGUAAUAGUAACAAGAAGAAGAAGAAGAAGAAGAAGAAGAAGAAGAAGAAGAAGAAGAAGAAGAAGAAGAAGAAGAAGGAGUUGGAAAUUCUCUUUAAAGAAUACCCAACUUGUUAAAGACCUGUUUUUUGUGUUUUUUGUUUUUUGUUUUUUUCCUUCUGGCUGCACAAACCCGACACUUUACCCAGUCACUUCUAUUUCCCCAUGAACCUUAUUUCUCAAGGCGCGCACAGAUUCUCAGCUUUGGUUUCCUAUCCAGGAACACCGUCUAUGAAGCGCUCCUGCUCUCCCUGCUGUGAGGAUCAGGGCAGUUUGUUCCGCAGCAGGUCAAACUCCACAACUGGAGAAUUAAAACAAAACCUCCUGGAGAGGAAUUUGGAGAAUCUCGUGAUUCCCAUUCACGUUUUUGGCCAUUCCUUACCUGAGUCUUUUUACAGUGUCCCCUCUGCUGGCUUCCCACCACAAAUUUCCCGUGCUCCUAGCAGUUACCACACUAGAGGAUUCCCAUAUUUCCACCCCACUUCAUUCAUGAGCACAUUCAUUAUGCAAAUAAUUUAUCUAUGGUGCUAAGCAAGACGUUGCUGCAUGGUAACACAAGACACCUGAAGAGAUGCACAGUCCAGUAAAAAUGCACCUGCAGAAGGGCAUCACAGCACCCCGGUGCCAAAUAUCUCAAAAACAGGGUCCUGCUUUGCUCCACCGUGAAUUUAAUUAAAAACAUUCCGAGUCCUUUUGCACUGGGCAAAAAUCUUUAAUGUUUUCAGUGCCUUUUGUCUACAAAGGUUGAAACCGCAAUCCUUAAAUACAUCAUCAGAAAUUAUUUUAAUACAGAAUUUGAAAAUAAUUAUAUCAGAAAUAAUAUCAGGAAUUACUAUAAACUUCAAAAAUAGUUAACAGCAACAUGUUGAGCAAUUCUAGCACACAAUUUAAUCAUUACAGGUGUAAGCCUGGUCUCAAUCAAGGCAAGAUUCUCACCAGCAUCAGUGGAGCCAGCAGCACUGGAAACACUGGGAACAAACCCAAUAGAAGUUAUGUUGUAAAAGUCAGCAUUUUGGGCAAGCGAGAUUUUACAGACCGUCACUAUUUUGGGUCGCCCCACUGGCUGCGUGGCUUUCCACCUCUAACUCCUUUUAAUGUCUCCACUUAAACCUCUAAGCAAGGUGAUUAUUUUCACUCCAACACACAAAAAUCUCCGAUGUAAGCGACCGUCUGUGCCUGGUCUUCCCCUGGGACGGCUGCUCCUCAGCCCCACGCUUGCAGCACAGGGGUAGGAAGGUCUUGCACGGAGGAUUUACGUUCAGCAGCUCCUGAACAACCAGCCGUAGGAGUGUGAUGUGCCAAAUUCAGCCCUGCUGUUCCAGGUGCUCUUUGUUUCGCAGAAGGAAGGAGUUCUGCUGAAAUGGUGCUUUACAGGAGGGGAAGAAUCAAAGAAUCCCCAUUCAGGAGCAUCCAGCACGCCGGCAGCUACCAAGGCAUCGCGUUGCGUGGGAGAAGGAUAAAAGAAAUGCUGUCCCCAGGGUAAGUUUUAAGAAGAAAAUAAGGAGAAGUGAGUGAUAAAAGAGUUUUCUGGAAGCUGCUCCUGCUUUGGGGAUGGGCAGGGAUCCCUCGGGGCCAUGAGUACUCCCUUAAUCUCCUUCAGGAUUUACCAAGCUCCAUCCCAGCCCCAGUUGUUUCCUGGUCCUCGAGGGAAGCCAAGGACGUAACUUCAUUCAUGGCUUCAGUGCAGAACACAGCACCUUCACUGCCACCGUUACUGUCCCAUCAGUGUUUUUGUGUUUUUUUUUUGUGUGUGUGUGUGUUACACCAGACCUUUACACUUUAACCUGAGCUCCCAAGCUCCCAGAAGCUCCAUUUUCUGCUCACAACUCUGCAGACAAUCCUGUUCUGAUCAUAUCUUGGUCUUCUCGAACAUGAAAACCCCCAGCAAUUUUCCGCUUAAAUUUUCUGCCUAAAUUGUUCUGCCUAAAUUUUCUGCUUAAACACAGCCAUUUUUCUAGCACAGGCUGCUUUGUGCAUCCGAACGUUCCUUUAAUAAUGCUUUCGGUACAGUCAACGCUGCUGUGUGUUAACUCCCCCUCCCAGACAUGAAUCAUCCAGCCACCAAUUCAAAUCAGCUCCUAAUCAAUGCCCCUUCGGCUGGCACCAACCCUGCCAUGCUUGGGUUUGAUUCGGUUUAAUGAAACUGCCUCAUCCUAAACCUUCCCCUGUAAUUGAUACGGGACUAGAACCAUCACCUCUGGUGGGUUAUUUGCUAACAAUGGAAAAUCCAUCCCAGGGAAGCUUUGGGCACAGUAGUUACAGGUCCACGUUGUGAGUUUGCAAGUGAUUUGUGUGCCUGGGUUUCUCUGCAAAACUUUUUUUACUCGCUGUCCACUUGUAAGGCCUCUGUCCCAUCUGAGUUCUCUGGUGUCAGAUCAGAUCUGCGCGGCGACCAAAGCUUUUCCUGCAGUCUGUGCGUACGUAUGACCAUACCUGAUUCCUUCUGGUGUGAAUCUGCUUUUGUUUUAGCAGUCCUGUUUUCAGUUUAGAGGAUUUCUGACAUGCUGCACACACACACACAGCCUCUCUCCCAUCUGGGUUUCCUGGUAAAGAAGGAUCUCUUGGAAUUCGUCAGGCUCUCCUCUCCCAGGAGGGCUGUUACCUCUUCUGCUUCCUGUUGUUCCAUUUGCCUGACCUGCUCCCGAAUUGCGAUGGCUCUCAGAUGUUACCCCUGAUGUUGUCUGAAACUUGGACGUGGAGUCCUGGGAUCCUCCUGAACACGAUCCAAACAGCUCCGUAUUUCCUGAGCCCUGAGCUUGAUCCCAGCAGCACUACAGCCUGGAACAAAAAGAUUCCAAACUUUACCUGAUGUGACCUAAUAUAAACUUCCAAAGAACAAAACCUUAUUUUUUGUGAGUUCUGUAUAAACAGAACAAGUUUGGGAACAAAAAGCAGGGACGUAUUAGAACCCCAAUCCCUCUGAUCCUAGAAGCCCGUGUUUAUUAUGCUGUGGGUUUAAUUUUUGGCUGGUCUGAGGCCAUCACACACCUGUGCUGAGACCUGCAGGAAUUUCUCUUUCCUCAGAAUCCCGCUGCUCCUUGACACGCGGCACUUCCCUCGGCCGGAUAUCGAUGUUGGGAACAGGACAGUCUGCACAGGGAACACGGGGAAACAAUAACCACCAUUUCCAUGUUCUGACACCUCCCCCAAAUCCCCCAAAUUACAGAGGUAUUGCCUAACCUACUUUAAUUCCCAACGUAAUAAGUUGCACAAAGACCAGUGCUGAGGAUGGCUUCGUGUCAGGCUAUUCGCUUCCAGUCUCCAAGCCUUGUACUUUCUCUCUGCCCUUUUUUUGUAGCAUGACUCAUUUUCAUUCAUUUACACGAAAAAUAGUGCGAAAAAUUGUGCAAGUGUAAUUCAUAGUUAAUAGGAAUAAAAAUGAUUCAUGUCACUGCUUUCCCCCA